rnacentral:lncRNA from 1 species
GUAGCGCAGCUUCUCCUGGGUGGUAAGGGAGGACGGGGUCACAGCGUCCAGCCGCUUUCCUCCCGCAACCACCUCCACCCCAAAAUCCGCUCCAGUACUCCCCGAGAUUGGAAGUAGAACGCCUGUGGGGACAGUAUGUUGGAAGUCUCACUGGCUGUCAUUAGGGAGGGGAGGCACCAUUUGAGGCCCAGUUGGACUCCAAUUCCCGCUAACCUCCCACAGCCUGCCUCCAGGUAUCCACCCGGCCCUCCAAGCCCUCCAGGCGUCAAAUACCAGUCCCGGCCACUUGGCAAGAACAACUGAAGCUUUCUCAGCAUUUUGUUGGAAAAUGAGUGGGCAUGUGGACAGGACGGGCCUUCUCACCUGAAGUCCAGCUCGAUUCUCUUUCUGGGACCUGAAUGUGACUGCAGGGCAAGAGUCCCCCAUCUGGGUGUUGGAGCCUCAUUUGAAUCCCUCUUAUCAGCGAGUUCUAAGGAUGACUAUGUGCACGAAGCUGGUGAUGGAGUCUUUGGCGCGGACCAAUCCACUGUUGACCCCACUCUGGGGAAGAAUGGGAGACAGGGCUGUCUUGGACCAGCAGAUAGAGGACACAAUGAAACAGAAGAAGCCUGAAUCCUUGACAUGGAGCCACCAUACUCCAUUCCAACCACCUGUGAAGACUUUCAGGGGAACGAUAGCCUCAAUGUCAUAAGCAGCCACCUAUGAAGAGGCCCAUGUAGCAAGGAAUUGAGGCCUCCAGCCAAGGGCAGGUGAGUGCCCCAUUUUGGUAGCACAACCUCUGGCCCCAGUCCAACCUUCAGGUGACUGCAGCCCCAGCCAAAAUCUUGUUUGCAACCUCGUGAGACGCCCUGAGCCAGGCCCACCCAGCUGAGCCCCUCCAAGUUUGUUGUUUGAAGUUUUGGUGUAAUUGGUUUCACAGCAAUAGAAAGCAUUACACAAAGUGUCUUUCUAACCUGAAGACUCAGAAGGUCUUGGGUUUCCUGUGGGUAAUUGUUCUGGAAACCAAGGCAACAGGACCUAGGGCCAACUAAUUUCUCCCAGUUACUAGCCGUAUGACCUCAUGGAGAGGACUUCACCUCUCUGUGCCUCUGCUUCCCUACCUGUGAAAUGGAGAUAUAACUAACAACUACCUUCACAGGGUUCCCAUUGUCCUUCCUCCUACCUGGAAACUGACACUCUCUCAACCAGGGUCUCCAUCACCGCCUGGUUCUCUGUCCCCCUCUUUCCAGUUCUCUGUCCCCACCCAGCCCCUGUGUCUGUUCCUUCUCUCUCUGGGUCUCUAUCCCCCUCCUCUAUUUCUGGUCUUCUGUCUCACCCUGAUUCAGCUCUGUCCCCCAAAUCUCAGAGUCUCUGACUUAUUUUUCCUGAGUCUCUGCCUUUCUACUCUUUAGGUCUCUGUCUUCUUUUUUUUUUUUUUUUUUUGAGAUAGAGUCUCACUCUGUCACCAGGCUGGAGUGCAGUGGCACGAUCUCGGCUCUCUGCAACCUCCACCUCCCGAGUUCAAGCGAUUCUCCUGCCUCAGCCUCCCGAGUAGCUGGGAUUACAGGCAUGUGCCCCCCUCUGUCUCUGGGUCUCUGUCCUCCUCUCUCUCUGGGUCUCUGUCCUCCUCUCUCUUGGUCUCUGUCCCCCACUCUCUGGGUCUCUGUCCCCCUCUCCCUGGUCUCCCUUCCCCUCUCUCUGGGUCUCUGUUCCCCUCUCUCUCUCUGGGUCUCUGUCUCCCUCUCUCUCUGGGUCUCUGUGUCCUUCUCUCUGCCUGUCCCCGCCUUCUCUCUGGAUGCAGCUCAGGUGCUGGGUGCUGGUUCCAGCUCCUGCUGCCCCCCUCACCUCUCCAGCAGGCACCCCAAGGUCAUUACUUUUUCCAUUUCACAGAGAAGGAACUUGAAGCCCGUUAGAGGCCGACACUCCCCUGCAGCCCCACAGCGAGCUGGCAGCUGUGUCAGACCUUGAUCCUGGCUGCCUGGGGUACUUUCUCAGGCUUCACGAUCCAGUGGGGGAUGUGACUCAGAAAUAGCUCUGGUGGGAGGCAAACGGCUGCAAGUGCUGCCUGAGGGACACUCCCCAAGACAGGGCGGAGAGCUCUUCUGUCUGAGGGAGGAGAUGUCUCCCAGACAUCCUUCCCAGCCCAGACUCUUUGCCCUGUUCUCUGCAGCUCCUCCUCCUUCCCUGGACCCUCGCCCAGGCUCCCCUCUGGCCUCCCUGCCUCAGUCUCUCCCCUCCAAACAUCCCCCACUCAGCCCAAGGGAGUCUUGGGGAGAGAAAGCCCUUUUGCAUUAGUGACAAAAGCAGCAGCCUUCUUGUCUUGGUCCUGCUUCUUACAACCCCUCCAACCUUGACCUUGUGGAGGUUACUACACCACUGUCUACCUUAGUUGUUUCUUUUUUUUUUUUGAGACGGAGUUUUGCUCUUGUUGCCCAGGCUGGAGUGCAAUGGCACGAUUUCGGUUCACUGCAACCUCUGCCUCCCAGGUUCAAGC